GGCUAACCAUUAACUUCAAUCAAUCAAUCAGCCAAUCAAUCAGACUUUAUCUGUAGAGGACUCUGCACGCCACAGAGAAACCCCCUGUGAGGGAAACUAACCCAGUGCAGGCAGCGUCCACAGACCCAGCAGGAACAAACAGACCCAGCAGGCCUCCAGUUAGUCCGUUAUCAAAAGAAGGGAACAAACAAACAUAAAAUAAACAAGGAGAACUGACUGAACCUGCGGGUUCCUGCGGGGUUCCUGCGGGUUCCUGCGGGCGCAGAGCGGGUCUGCGGGAGCAGGGAGGAGCGAGGCCACCUGGACGGAGCUCUAAACCGAACAAACAGCUGCUGUUUACCGUGUCGGUGAAGCUCCGUAACGUCAGGCUCGACGCGUUAGCUACACAGCCGGCCAGCUGUUUGGGAGCUAAUGCUAACAGGCUAACUGCGUUGUUGU
rnacentral:lncRNA from 1 species